UACGUAGGGGGCAAGCGUUGUCCGGAUUUAUUGGGCGUAAAGAGCGUGUAGGCGGUUUGGUAGGGUUCCGCUGUGAAAACUCCGGAGGCUCAACCUCGAGACGCCGGUGGAAACCAUCAGGCUAGAGUUCGGAAGAGGAGAGUGGAAUUCCUGGUGUAGCGGUGAAAUGCGCAGAUAUCAGGAAGAACACCCGUGGCUAAGGCGGCUCUCUAGUACGGUACUGAGCUGAGACGCGAAAAGCGUGGGGGAGCGAAACAGG
rnacentral:rRNA from 1 species